CCUACGGGAGGCAGCAGUGAGGAAUAUUGGUCAAUGGCCGUAAGGCUGAACCAGCCAAGUCGCGUGAAGGAAGAAGGCUCUAUGGUUCGUAAACUUCUUUUACAGGGGAAUAAAGGUCUCCACGCGUGGAUACCUGCAUGUACCCUAUGAAUAAGCAUCGGCUAACUCCGUGCCAGCAGCCGCGGUAAUACGGAGGAUGCGAGCGUUAUCCGGAUUCAUUGGGUUUAAAGGGUGCGUAGGUUGUUGUUUAAGUCAGCGGUGAAAGUUUGUGGCUCAACCAUAAAAUUGCCGUUGAAACUGGAGGACUUGAGUGUGUUUGAGGUAGGCGGAAUGCGUGGUGUAGCGGUGAAAUGCAUAGAUAUCACGCAGAACCCCGAUUGCGAAGGCAGCUUACUAAGCCAUAACUGACACUGAAGCACGAAAGCGUGGGGAUCAAACAGGAUUAGAUACCCGAGUAGUC
rnacentral:rRNA from 1 species